rnacentral:rRNA from 1 species
UACGGAGGGGGCUAGCGUUGUUCGGAUUUACUGGGCGUAAAGGGCGCGUAGGCGCUUGUCAGUCAGGCGUGAAAGCCCCGGGCUCAACCUGGGAACGGCGCUUGGGACGGCGAGGCUGGAGUUCGGGAGAGGAGAGUGGAAUUCCCAGUGUAGAGGUGAAAUUCGUAGAUAUUGGGAAGAACACCGGUGGCGAAGGCGGCGACCUGGUCCGAUACUGACGCUGAGGCGCGAAAGCGUGGGGAGCAAACAGG